UACGAAGGGGCUAGCGUUGCUCGGAAUCACUGGGCGUAAAGGGUGCGUAGGCGGGUCUUUAAGUCAGGGGUGAAUCCUGGAGCUCAACUCCAGAACUGCCUUUGAUACUGAAGAUCUUGAGUUCGGGAGAGGUGAGUGGAACUGCGAGUGUAGAGGUGAAAUUCGUAGAUAUUCGCAAGAACACCAGUGGCGAAGGCGGCUCA
rnacentral:rRNA from 1 species